AUUGGGUGGCUCUAAUGAUUGAUCUGGUUAAGUGUGAAAUCAAAGUGUACGAUUCAAUGGUUUCACUUAUUCCAGAUGAGAUGUUAAAGGAAGAACUCGCCCCGCUUUCAAUUACGAUUCCAAAUCUUCUCAACUCCAUCGACUUUUAUGAAGAAGGUGUUUACGCAAACGACUGCAGCAGAGAUUGGUGGUGUCCAUGGCCAAUAGAACGUGUGGAUGUUCCACAACAAUCUAAUCAAGGCGAUUGUGGCAUGUUUGUGUUGAAGUACAUUGAGCUUUUGAGCGCUGAGAUUCCGUUAGCUA